CGCAGACGUCGCAGGGGGUGCAGGUGCGGCGCUUCAAGACGCUGAGCGAGCUAAUCGCCCUGUACCUGCAGCCCAACCAGGGGCUGGUCUGCACCCUGCUCUUCCCUGUCGAGAGGGAGAAAGACAAGGAGGCCGUGGAGGACAGGGACUACUCGGAUGGAGAGGAUGAGAAGCCGCCGCUGCCACCACGCUCUGGCUCCACCAGCUUCUCCGGUACCUCGGCCGGGCUCAGCCCCACCAGCCUGGGACCAGCCGUGCCGGAGGGGCCGGCAGAGAGUGCCAACGGGCUCAGCAGCAUCUCCCACGAGUACCUGAAGGGCAGCUACACCCUGGACCUGGAGGCAGUGAAGGGGGGGG